UUAUUUUACGGACUGGGCAGCAACAGGAAUUCUUUGGAAGAAAAUUCAAUGCCUUCUACUUCAGCCUGGCCCAGGUUUUUCUGUUGAUUGCCUCUUCUAUCAGGCUUCAAAGAUUCUGUGACUGGCGUCUACAUGAUCAGGUGACCAAUUUCAUUCGCUUAUCUACAGUCUUCAAGGCAGAUGUAAAAAAAGGUGUCCAAAAUGUAGUGCGAUAGUUCCUAGUCGCAAAUACGCAUGUGAAUGUGGGCACAAUUUUUUUGCAGAAAAAGAACACUUAAAGAAAAAAAGGGAAGCUCAGUUGCAGAAAGCUGGAAUUAUAGCAAGUGAAAAUGGGAAUCUAUGGCGGGCCUUUGAUGCAAUUCAAAAACAGCAAACUCCUGCACAGCUCCUCCGCUGCUAUCUAUUGCUGCUCUUUCUGAAGGCCUACAAGUUCUGUGGUGAGUUCAGUUCUGUGCUCCUCUACCUCCUCCUCGUCAUCUUCAGUCACCUCUAGGCCCAGGGUCUUCCCCAGUGACACAGUAUCCUCUACUGGCUCAGGUUCAUCUUCAAAGUCAUCAAAAUCCCUGGCUACCACAAAGUCAGGCCACAAUUUCUUCCAUGCUGACUGCAUGGUCCUGGAAGACACUUUUCCCCACGCUUUGUCUAUAAGCCUCAAGCAGAGUGCAAAAAUAAGAGGAGGGGGUUAUACAGUUGCUACCCUGUACUUUAAAGAAUGUCCUACACGAAAUAUUAAGGGCAUUAUAUCUGGAAGUGCUCUCGAAGAAGCUGACAAGGCCCUCCUCAUGAAUAUAUUCUGUAAGGUGGCUAAAUCAUUGAAGAGAAAAGAGAGGGAACAUGAAAAGGAGUCUGCAUUUCAAGAUAACCCAGGAGAGAAAUGCUUGGUUGUCUUAAAUGAGUCUGUCACAUCUGGGAACAAAGUUAAAAAUCAACUACCUGAACUACAACAUGUGGAGCAAGUCAUGGAAGUGAAACAAGAGAAUUAAACAAGAGCGCCUCAAAGAAUAAGUUUAAAUAAUCUCCAGUAUAUAAAUUCUUCAUGUAAAUAUAAAUACAGUGGACCCUCAGUUUUCAUAUGCCCUAGUUUUCAUAUGAUUUGGUUUCCGACAACUUUUAUCGUUGAAAUUUUGUCCCAGUUUUCGUACAUCCACUUGGUUUUCAUACAGUUGAAAAUGGUCCAUACCAAACUUGUCCGCCUGCCUGCAUGACUCGGCCACUCAUUUCCCGGAAUCAGGCACUCACACAAAUAUCCCAUGCAUUCGUGAUUUUGAAGGGUUUGAGGCUGAGAGAGUAGAUAAACUCUCGAAACUCUUCAAAGGUACUAAGGUAUUUGGGGAAGUCCAUGGGGUUGGAUGUGAGUGGCCAGGAUGUGGAAGAGUUGGUGGACGACCACAGGGAAGAGCUAACCACUGAAGAGCUGCAAGACCUUCAACUGAAACAGCAAUGGACCACAGCUGAGAAAAUUGUUUCACAGGAGGAAGAAGAGAGAGGGGAAAAUGUGCCUUCUUCAGUGAUUAAAGACAUGUGUGCCAAGUGGAAUAAGUUGCAAAGUUUUGUGGAGAAAUAUCACUCUAACAAAGCUGUUGCAAGCCAUGUCUGCAACAUGUUCAAUGACAGUGCCUUGUCCCAUUUUAGGCAAAUCUUAAAGAGACACCAGAAACAGAUCUCUCUGGACAGUUUUUUUUUUUUUUUGCAACAGGGGUCCAGUGACUCUCAAGCUGGUCCUAGUGCCAGUAAAAGACAAAGAAGGGAAGUAACCUCGGAUAGGGCCUUGAUACCUGAAUUCCUUAUGGAUGGGGAUUCCUCUUCCAAACAAUAACCUCUCCUCCUCCCUCUUCCCUCCUCGCCAUCUUCCAUACACCAACAAGAGUCUUUGAUGAAGGUAAAAGUGAUGUUAAAUGUUCAUUUAUCCAUUUCAUUAGUCAUUUAUAUUUAUUUCUGUAUGUAAAACUAUAGUUAUUCUCUAUAAAAUGUAUUUUUUAUUAAUAUUUUUGGGUGCCUGGAACAGAUUAAUUGGAUUUACAUUAUUUCUUAUGGGAAAUAGUGCUUCAGUUUUCGUACGAUUCGGUUUUCGUCAGACAUUUUCGAAUGGAUUAAUAACGAAAACUGAGGUUCCACUGUUUUGUAGAAAAUAUUUGUGUGCAAGAUAAGUAUAAAUCCAGGGAUAAAAAAUAAAUAACACUUAAUGACAAUGUUGAUAAAGGUGAAAUGUUGCCAUGUAAUAAAGCUAUCCAUUGCAUCUGUUAUUUAUUCAACUUUGUUGUAUAUUUACACAUUUCAUUUUCAAGGGGGGGGGGAGGGGUUCUUUGAUGCUAAUAAAGGGGGCUCCUUUCCUGGAACUGACUCUGUCCUCCCUUUCCACAGAUUAAACCUGAAUGCCUUUCCCUUUCCUCUACUUUUGGCCUUUUUAGUAGGAAUAUUUCUCUUUUGUUCAGUUGAGCAAUACGUAUAGUGAAAGGCCCUGUUGUAGCUUUUCUCCAAGAGGUGUUGCUGUGGUGGUUGUGUUACUCCAUCUAAUGGAAAUUGGAGCAUCUUGAGGCAUGCUAAAUGGACUUUCAGUGAGAGCCAUUUGACAUGUCCCAGUGACAUGAAGAUUGUGCAAGCUCUCGGAUAGCAGAAGGGUUACUGGAAGUUGCUUGUAGAUCCAGGAGUGGUAACAAAAAGUGUAUGACUCCUGGAAUUUGUUCCAGUUUGUCCAUCAACAUUGUAUAGCCAGUUUCUCUGGUUUCAAAGAGCUAUGAUCAAAUUUUCAAAUGCUGAGGUGGUUCGGACAUUUAGAGAGGAUGGAACACAAUAGGAUGACUUGGAGAGCGUAUAUAUAUCUGUAGUAGAGGGAAGACAGAUUAGAUGUCGUCCUAGGAGAGGUUAGAGGAACAGGGUAACAGAGGUUUUGUGUACAAGGGGCUUAGACAUCCACAAACAUGUGUGAGUGUGUUAGAUAGGAGUGAGUGGAGGCAAGUGGUUUUAUGACUUGACAUUCUGUUGGACCAUGAGCAAUGUAACAUUUAUGAAAGGAUUCAGGGUAACUGGUUAGCUGAACUUGGGUCAUGGAGGUGGGAAGUGUAGUGCCUGCACUCUGUAGCAGGGGUAGAAAUUAUGCUGAAAUUUUAAAGCUGUAGCAUUGGCACGCCUCUGGGAAGACAGUGAUGGAGCGAGCGAUAAUGAAAAUGUUUUUUCUUUUUCUGGGUAACCCUUCCUCGGUGGGGAAUGGUCGAUGUUUUAAAAAAAUUAAAAUGUCAUGGUAAAUGCCCUAACUUUAUCACUGACAUCAGCUGGGCUCCUGAACAUUAUCUUUCCAUACCUGUAGGUAUGGAGAACUAUGCUUUCACAAUCAAGACUUGGACACACUAGAUUGCCAGGUUGAGAUAUUGAUUCAUUAUAUCUUAAUAGACCGUUUCAUUGAUCAGAGGGCAAGCAGAAUUCACUUUCAAUAUCUAUAAUGGCCUCACACCGGCCUUAUUGAAAAUUCCACCUGCAGUCAGAUUUGCUCUUUGACUUUAUAGCAGAAACUAUCCAGGUUUAGCAACUUUUAUAUUAAUUUUGAAUCAGUAUUAACCCGUAACUCCACUGAAGAAAAAAUUUAUGAAGCGAAAGUAUGUAUUGUUAUACAGAUAUUAGUUGUGAUUUUUAACAUCAUGCACCUUAGAUUACAUCUAAAAAUAUGUACAAUAACAGUAACUGGGUUAAAAUAAUAAUAAAAAUGUCAUGAAAGUAAUUUUUUUUUUUUUUAGCAUGCCAGCCUUCUCCCACCAAGGCAAAGUUUUAUAUAAUACUUAAAAGGAAAAAAAGAUAUAUUUUUAGAAUAUUAACAAGAUAAAAAAGCAUUUGCUUUUUUUAUUAUAAAUUUUGCAAUCUGUGGCACUUUUUUUACUUUUAUUUAUUUUACCCUUAACUCAAGAACACUAAAUUAUUUUGCCUUAUUCUAAUCUGGAUAGAAAUUAGCAUUUGAACUUAUUGUAUACUAUUGUAUGUAAAAUAAAAUCUGUACUGUAAAAUCUGUACUCUAUUGUUGUAUUUUUAAUAUGCAGUAUUAUGUAUAAAUCAGUAAAUGUCAGUAGAAAUAAUACCUAAU